rnacentral:rRNA from 1 species
GGUACAUGGUAGGAGAGCGUUCUAAGGACGGCGAAGCUAGACCGUAAGGACUGGUGGAGUGCUUAGAAGUGAGAAUGCCGGUAUGAGUAGCGAAAGAUCAGUGAGAAUCUGGUCCACCGUAUGACUAAGGUUUCCUGGGGAAGGCUCGUCCUCCCAGGGUUAGUCGGGACCUAAGCCGAGGCCGAGAGGCGUAGGCGAUGGAUAACAGGUUGAGAUUCCUGUACUGGUUAAACUUGUUUGAACAAUG